CCCCGUGGAGCUUUACUGUAGCCUGAUAUUGAAAUUCGGCACAGCUUGUACAGGAUAGGUAGGAGCCUUUGAAACGUGAGCGCUAGCUUACGUGGAGGCGCUGGUGGGAUACUACCCUAGCUGUGUUGGCUUUCUAACCCGCACCACUUAUCGUGGUGGGAGACAGUGUCAGGCGGGCAGUUUGACUGGGGCGGUCGCCUCCUAAAAGGUAACGGAGGCGCUCAAAGGUUCCCUCAGAAUGGUUGGAAAUCAUUCAUAGAGUGUAAAGGCAUAAGGGAGCUUGACUGCGAGACCUACAAGUCGAGCAGGGUCGAAAGACGGACUUAGUGAUCCGGUGGU
rnacentral:rRNA from 1 species